GUCUAAGGCCAUACCACCCUGAACCAGCAAGAUCUCAUCUGGUCUCGGAAGAUAUGCAGGUUCGGGCCUGGUUAGUACUUGGAUGGGAGACUGCCUGGGAAUACUGGGUGCUAUGGGCU
ensembl:rRNA 5S_rRNA 5S ribosomal RNA